AGUGAACGCUGGCGGUAGGCCUAACACAUGCAAGUCGAACGGCAGCACAGUAAGAGCUUGCUCUUACGGGUGGCGAGUGGCGGACGGGUGAGGAAUACAUCGGAAUCUACUUUUUCGUGGGGGAUAACGUAGGGAAACUUACGCUAAUACCGCAUACGACCUACGGGUGAAAGCAUGGGAUCUUCGGACCUUGCGCGAUUGAAUGAGCCGAUGUCGGAUUAGCUAGUUGGCGGGGUAAAGGCCCACCAAGGCGACGAUCCGUAGCUGGUCUGAGAGGAUGAUCAGCCACACUGGAACUGAGACACGGUCCAGACUCCUACGGGAGGCAGCAGUGGGGAAUAUUGGACAAUGGGCGAAAGCCUGAUCCAGCAAUACCGCGUGGGUGAAGAAGGCCUUCGGGUUGUAAAGCACUUUUGUUGGGAAAGAAAAGCAGCAGGUUAAUACCACGCUGUGAUGACGGUACCCAAAGAAUAAGCACCGGCUAACUUCGUG
rnacentral:rRNA from 1 species